CACGUUGGUGGGAACCCCAGGCAGGC
rnacentral:piRNA from 1 species